rnacentral:rRNA from 1 species
AAUCAACGCUGGCGGCGUGCCUAACACAUGCAAGUCGAACGAGAAAGUGGAGCAAUCCAUGAGUAAAGUGGCGACCGGGUGAGUAACACGUGACUAACCUACCCUCAAGUGGGGAAUAACCUCGGGAAACCGGGGCUAAUACCGCAUAAUGUCUUCGGACCAAAGGAGCAAUCCGCUGGAGGAGGGGGUCGCGGCCGAUUAGCUAGUUGGCGGGGUAACGGCCCACCAAGGCCAUGAUCGGUAGCCGGCCUGAGAGGGCGCACGGCCACACUGGAACUGAAACACGGUCCAGACUCCUACGGGAGGCAGCAGUGGGGAAUUUUGCGCAAUGGGGGAAACCCUGACGCAGCAACGCCGCGUGGAGGAUGAAGCCCCUUGGGGUGUAAACUCCUUUCGAUCGGGACGAUUAUGACGGUACCGGAUGAAGAAGCACCGGCUAACUCUGUGCCAGCAGCCGCGGUAAUACAGAGGGUGCAAGCGUUGUUCGGAAUUAUUGGGCGUAAAGGGCGCGUAGGCGGUGCGGUAAGUCUAUUGUGAAAUCUCCGGGCUCAACUCGGAGCUUGCAACGGAAACUGCCGUGCUCGAGUGUGGGAGAGGUGAGUGGAAUUCCCGGUGUAGCGGUGAAAUGCG